GAAAUACAAUAAGUAAUAUAAAUUGCAGAAUUCAGUGAAUCAUCGAAUCUUUGAACGUACAUUGCGCCCGCUAGUAUUCUAGCGGGCAUGCCUAUUCGAGCGUCAUUUCAACCAUCAAGCCCCCGGGCUUAUAUUAGGGACCUACGGCCGCCGCAGGCCCCGAAAAGUAGUAGCGGGCUCGCUAUUACCCCGAGUGUAGUAGCAAUCACCUCGCUUAGGGCGUACUAUAGGCACCGGUCGUUAAAACCAAUGUACCAACGUACCCCCCAAAGGUUAACCUCGGAUUAGGUAGGAAUACCCACUGAACUUAA
rnacentral:misc_RNA from 1 species